UCAGGCUGACAUGACUAAGCUUUAUGACUUGCUCCAUCAUGAUGAUAGUUUCUAGUCCAACAUACUACUUAUGUUUUUUAUUUAGGUUUGUUGAUUUCUUUUUGUACGGUCAAGUUGAAAAGGGGGAGCUCCAAAAAUAUGCUAUAUCCCAAAUUUUGUACUGAUUAUGUCUUUGAUUAAUGAAUUUUGUUUGUUCCUGUUUCUUUUUCAGUUUAAUUACUACCAUA
rnacentral:lncRNA from 1 species